AACAGUUCUUGUUGCUUGUGGUUUUGAUUUUUGCCAUUCUGACCAGUGUGAGGUGGUAUCUCAUGGUAGCUUUAAUUAGCAUUUCGCUGACGAUGACUGAUGUUGAGCAUCUUUUCAUGUGUCUGUUGGCCAUCUGGAUGUCUUUGGAGCAAUGUCUGCUCAUGUCUUCUGUCCAUUUUUUUACAGGAUGAUUUGUUUUUUGGGUUCAACGUCCAACUUUGAACUGUGUGUAUUCUAAACUGUGGUCUGAAGGUCAGUUUCUAGAUAGAGAAGACAAAAUUGACAUUCUGUUUUUUCUGCAUUUUCUUAAUCAUUUAUUAGUUCUGCUGUUUGCUUUAGGCACUGGCCCAACUCCUCUUAGGUUAUUUCAAAAACUUUGUCAGUUUCAUGGUACUGGCACAUUGAGUCAUAAUGUCUUUGUAUUUAUUUGAAUACACGUGUUUGGAGAGAAAAAAUUGUGCUGGUUCCAUAUGCUGACACACUGAUCUGAAGGUCCGGCUGUCCCUUUGAGCAAAGGACCUGACUUGAAAAUGCUCGUAGGCUCUUCCUAGGCCAGGGCUCUCACCGAGGAAAAGGCCAUGUUCAGUUCCAGCAUGAUCAUGAGGCCCAAUGGCAAGAAGCUGGAUGAGCUGGAGUCCAGGCCCUCCUUGAGUUGGAGAGGAACUCGGGCCUCUGAGCCCAUCUAUGGGAGAUGAAUACAACAGCAGCCAAGGAAACUGAAGUUGGCGGUGGUUGGAAGGUUCUUACCAUCUUUGUUGCCAUUCCUCAACUGAAAUCUUUCCAGAACAUCCAAGUCCGGCUAGUCUUUGAAUUGGAGAAAAAGUUCACUGGGAAGCAUGUUGUCUUUAAGGCUCAGAGGAGAAUUCUGCCUCAGCCAACUUGAAAAAAGCCAUACAAAAAACGAGCAAAAGUGUCCCAGGAUCUGUGCUUGGACAGCCGCGCGUGAUGCAAUCCUGGAGGACUUGGUUUUCCCAAGCAAAAUUGUAGGCAAGAGGAUCCACGUGAAGCUGGAUGGCAGUCUGCUCACAAAGGUUCGUUUGGAUAAAGCACAGCAGAGCGACAUAGAGCACAAGGUUGAAACUUUCUGUGUUAUCUGUAAGAAGCUCACCAGCAAGGAUGUUAACUUUGAGUUCCAGAGUUUCCGUGGUAAACAUAAAUGAUGGGGGGUGGGGGGAAGCUCGUAGGUGUCCCUCCUGUUUACCUGAGGCAAAUAUGGUUUUCCGUAUCUCUGGAAUAUAUAAUCAUUCCCCAUCAGAUCUUAACACAGUUCACACCUUAGAAUGAGUCUCAGAUUCUGUAGUGACCUUGAGGAAGUCAUGCAAUCUACCUUGACCUUCUUAUCCCAAGUGUAAAGGGAUUUUCUCUAGAAUUCUCACCUCUAUCCCCCAUAAGAAAGAAUUUCUGCUUUUUAAAAAGUAGUUACUUCAUUCUUUUCAUCAGCAAUAAUCUGAGAAAGAAUGGGAAUUUGGGAUGCAAAGACAGGCAGGAGUGAGCUUUGAGAUGAGUGGUGAUGGGCAGUAUCCCAGAUGAGUCCCAGUGGAACUUUUUGAAGUUCCUCUGCACUCAAGCCCAUAUAAAAGGAGAGCAUUAACUCAGAUGUGUCAGGCACUGAGAUGCGUCCUUCUUUACCUGUGGAGCAGGCUUCGUGCUCACAGUGGUCUGGGAAGGAAGACUACCUGUGAGAAAUGGGGUCAUCAGGAUUAAGUUACUGACUUAGAUCAUACUAGAAUUGGGAACACAGUUUUGGGAAGUUUUUAAAGUUUGACUUCAAGGCCUGUGAUCUUGUUUGUUGUAUCUAUAAUGUGAAUGAAUACUUUAAAAAUUUGCAAAGGUGUGGGGGGGGGUAGGUAAGAAAAUGUUAAAGCCUGUUCAUUGUCUUGCAUGAGGUAUCAAGAAUGGCAGAUAAUAAGAAGGGAAGAGGCAUCAUGGUAUUUCAGAUGGAAAUCUAUUUGGUCCUUAUAUUAGGACAGUGGUGGUCCCAGUGGAUUCUGUUCUUUAUUUUAUUUUACGGUUUUAUUUUUAAGUCGUCUCUA